rnacentral:rRNA from 1 species
CUUAAAUUGAAGAGUUUGAUCAUGGCUCAGAUUGAACGCUGGCGGCAGGCCUAACACAUGCAAGUCGAGCGGAAACGAGUUAACUGAACCUUCGGGGGACGAUAACGGCGUCGAGCGGCGGACGGGUGAGUAAUGCCUAGGAAAUUGCCCUGAUGUGGGGGAUAACCAU